UGAGGAAUAUUGGUCAAUGGGCGCAAGCCUGAACCAGCCAUCCCGCGUGCAGGAAGACGGCCCUAUGGGUUGUAAACAGCUUUUCCAGGGAGAGAAACUUGCGUACGCGUUGCGCAAUUGACGGUACCCUGGGAAUAAGCAUCGGCUAACUCCGUGCCAGCAGCCGCGGUAAUCCGGAGGAUGCGAGCGUUAUCCGGAUUCAUUGGGUUUAAAGGGUGCGUAGGCGGACUAUUAAGUCAGCGGUGAAAUCCUGCAGCUUAACUGCAGAACUGCCAUUGAUACUGAUAGCCUUGAGUUUUGUUAAGGUAGGCUGAAUGUGUAAUGUAGCGGUGAAAUGCUUAGAUAUUACACAGAACACCAAUUGCGUAGGCAGCUUACUGGCCCGAUACUGACGCUGAGGUGCGAAAGCGUGGGUAGCAAACA
rnacentral:rRNA from 1 species